rnacentral:tRNA from 1 species
GAUGGUAUAGCUCAGUGGGAGAGCAUGUGCUUAGCAUGCACAAGGUCCUGGGUUCAAUUCCUAGUACCUCCA